UAUUUAUAUGUAUAGGUUAUCAUAUAAGGGAUGAGAUGAUAUCAGUUUUAUCGCUCGAGGGACGAUAUCACAAUUGUCACGAGCGAGCGCAGCAAGCGAAGGACAAAUUUAUUGUGAUAUCGUCCCGAGAGCAAUAAAACUGAUAUCACCGAAUCCCGAGUACGAUAACCUAUUUAUUAAUA